ensembl:lncRNA
AUUGUUGUGCCAGAGAUGUUUUUCUUUCCGGACACACCGAAGGACACAUGCAACACUUACAACAGCAAAAAUAGAGAAUGACAAACGCAAAUUGAUUAGCAUCCUAGGCCAUAACACUUCAGCCGAAAGAGUUUCCAAAAAGGUAGGCCUAUGUCAGACUCAGAAUCAAACGCAUAUUUUUUAUUCCAAUUUUUGCCAUGCAUGAGAUGAGGAUAUGCUGCUAUGGGAAAACAACUUCACUGUUCCGUUAUGCCGACACACACAGACGAGUAACGGCUGAGAAAUAGACAAUCACAGCAAGACAUGUGUCGGGCCAAACGGACAUGAUCAACCCAACAACAGAACUGAAAGACGACCACCACGCACGUGGUGGUAGAGCGCGUCUAUUCACAGGAGAACAGGAGGCUGCCAUUGUGCAAAUGGUAGUUGAACAUAAUGCCAUAAGACUGCGAAAAUCCAACAACAGAUGAUUGAAAACCCUGCCAUCUUCCAUAACAUCAGAGUGAGCUUGUCAACCGUAGCAUGCAUCCUUAAGAAACACAAUCUCCGGAUGAAGCAAAUCUACAGAGUCCCAUUUGAAGGAAUUCCCAAAGAGCGAAGGAUAAACAGUAUUUACUAUCAUUUCAGAGAUUCAUGGAGUUGGAUGCAAGUCCCAUCCCCCGGGAACUCAUACUCUUAGAUGAGGCAGGAUUAAAUUUAGCAAAGAUGAGGAAGAGAGGAAGGAACAUCAUUGGUCAACACGACAUUGUUGAGAUGUUCUACUCCCCGUACCUGCUUCUCCAGCGUCGGUCCUUACAGAAUGUGUAUGAUCACAAACUCCAUGAACGUAUGGCCCUUCUCCAGGCAAUGGAGGAGGCCUGUGGUGACAUUCCAGCAGAGUCAUGUCAGGGGUGGAUGUGUCAUGCCAGAAGAUAUUUCCCCCGCUGUCUGGCCUGUGAUAUUGAUGAAAAUCUGUGGCUAGACCAAAACAACAGACAUUACUGAUUUUGUUUUCGCAAUGGAGUAUUUGUUUCUUGACUUAUGACUUAUGAUUUGACUGUAUUUUGACAGUUUCUUUAUCUAUUCCGUACAGUUGAUCUAACAUGCAGUACAGUAGUACAAAUAGGCCUAUUUUUAUUCCUCUGCAUAUGCAUUUUUACUGUAUGUGUGCUUACAGUAUGCUGUUUGACAUGUGUUGAGUUGAAAUAUAAAACGGACAUUUUUGUAUUUGUGUUCCUUUCUUCAAUGUACAGUAUAACAACAAAAUAUUAGUCUUUACACUGAAAUUGGUUCUGAUAGU